rnacentral:rRNA from 1 species
UACGUAGGGGGCUAGCGUUGUCCGGAAUCAUUGGGCGUAAAGCGCGUGUAGGCGGCCCGGUAAGUCCGCUGUGAAAGUCGGGGGCUCAACCCUCGAAUGCCGGUGGAUACUGUCGGGCUAGAGUGCGGAGGAGGCGAGUGGAAUUCCUGGUGUAGCGGUGAAAUGCGCAGAUAUCAGGAGGAACACCGGUGGCGAAGGCGGGUCUCUGGGCCGAUACUGACGCUGAGGAGCGAAAGCGUGGGGAGCGAACAGG